rnacentral:lncRNA from 1 species
UUAAAAAUGAAAGAAGUGCUUGGAAUAAUAGGGCAGGGAUUGGAAAAGCUCAGUAAAAGGGUGUAGGUGCCUUAUAAUAACUACCUUUGUGUUUAUAGCUUUUCUAUGGUGAAAACCUAAUCUGCACAAAGGCACCAUGAUCUUUCCAGUAAGAAAUGAAGGAGUGGGUGACUCAGGAGCAGUCAGCCAGAAAAGUUCUGUACUGCAAAGGGACAGUGGAUAAUAAAUCAAGCAGAAGCAGUCAUCCAAAACCUUUUUUUGAGCUCUUGGUGAUUUAAAGAUUUUUCUUACAAGAGUCAGGAGUUGGGAGAAUGCUGAAGUCUACAGGUAUGUGUAGAACAUGAAAGUUUAAUGAUGUUAUUUUGUAUGGUAUGUACACAAUUUCCCUGAAAAUAUUCACUUAUUCAUCUUCAUUUCUAUACUUAUAAUUAUUCUUUAAUAUUCUGUCCCCUACCCCC